rnacentral:rRNA from 1 species
UACGGGGGGGGCUAGCGUUGUUCGGAAUUACUGGGCGUAAAGGGCUCGUAGGCGGCCAACUAAGUCAGACGUGAAAUCCCUCGGCUCAACUGAGGAACUGCACGGGAAACUGCCUGGCUUGAGUUCGGGAGAGGGAAGCGGAAUUCCGGGUGUAGCGGUGAAAUGCGUAGAUAUCCGGAGGAACACCGGUGGCGAAGGCGGCUUCCUGGACCGACACUGACGCUGAGGCGCGAAAGCGUGGGGGAGCGAACAGG